AACGAACGCUGGCGGCAUGCUUAACACAUGCAAGUCGAACGAGACCUCCGGGUCUUGUGGCGCACGGGUGCGUAACGCGGGGGAACUUGCCCGUAGGUUCGGAAUACCUCCCUGUAAGGUGUGUUAAUACCGGUUAAUGUCUUCGGACCAAAGAUGUAUGGCUUUUGGAUGGGCCCUCGUUGGUUUAGCUAGUUGGUAGGGUAAAAGCCUAUCAAGGCGAGGAUGCAUAGCUGGUCUGAGAGGAUGCUCAGCAACACUGGAACUGAGACACGGACCCGACUGGUACGGAGGGCAGCAGUAGGGAAUAUUAUGCGAUGGGCGAAAGCCUGAUCCAGCCGUGCGGCGUGAGUGAUGAAGGCCUUAGGGUUGUAAAGCUCUUUUAGCCGGGAUGAUAAUGACGGUACCGGGAGAAUAAGCACCGGCUAACUACGUG
rnacentral:rRNA from 1 species